rnacentral:rRNA from 1 species
AGGGGUAGAGAUAUUGGGCCUAAGCAUCCGUAGCCGGUUCUGUAAGUUUCCGGUUAAAUCCAUUAGCUCAACUAAUGGGCUGCCGGAAAUACUGCAUAACUAGGGAGUGGGAGAGGUAGACGGUAUUCGGGGGGAAGGGGUAAAAUCCUUUGAUCUCUUGAUGACCACCUGUGGCGAAGGCGGUCUACCAGAACACGUUCGACGGUGAGGGAUGAAAGCUGGGGGAGCAAACCGGAUUAGAUACCCGGGUAGUCCCAGCUGUAAACUAUGCAAACUCAGUGAUGCAUUGGCUUGUGGCCAAUGCAGUGCUGCAGGGAAGCCGUUAAGUUUGCCGCCUGGGAAGUACGUACGCAAGAAUGAAACUUAAAGGAAUUGGCGGGGGAGCAC